rnacentral:rRNA from 1 species
GUAGUCAUAUGCUUGUCUCAAAGAUUAAGCCAUGCAUGUCUAAGUAUAAGCAAUUUAUACAGUGAAACUGCGAAUGGCUCAUUAAAUCAGUUAUCGUUUAUUUGAUAGUACCUUUACUACUUGGAUAACCGUGGUAAUUCUAGAGCUAAUACAUGCUAACAACCCCGACUGUUUGGAAGGGGUGUAUUUAUUAGAUAAAAAAUCAAUGCUCUUCUGAGCUCCUUGAUGAUUCAUAAUAACUUUUCGAAUCGCAUGGCCUUGUGCUGGCGAUGGUUCAUUCAAAUUUCUGCCCUAUCAACUUUCGAUGGUAGGAUAGUGGCCUACCAUGGUUUCAACGGGUAACGGGGAAU